AUUGGACGCUGGCGGCAUGCUUUACACAUGCAAGUCGAACGGUAACAGGCCGCAAGGUGCUGACGAGUGGCGAACGGGUGAGUAAUGCAUCGGAACGUGCCCAGUCGUGGGGGAUAACGCAGCGAAAGCUGUGCUAAUACCGCAUACGAUCUACGGAGGAAAGCGGGGGACCGUAAGGCCUCGCGCGAUUGGAGCGGCCGAUGUCAGAUUAGGUAGUUGGUGGGGUAAAGGCUCACCAAGCCAACGAUCUGUAGCUGGUCUGAGAGGACGACCAGCCACACUGGGACUGAGACACGGCCCAGACUCCUACGGGAGGCAGCAGUGGGGAAUUUUGGACAAUGGGCGCAAGCCUGAUCCAGCAAUGCCGCGUGCAGGAAGAAGGCCUUCGGGUUGUAAACUGCUUUUGUACGGAACGAAAAGGUUUGGGUUAAUACCCUGGGCCGAUGACGGUACCGUAAGAAUAAGCACCGGCUAACUACGUGCCAGCCGCCGCAGUAA
rnacentral:rRNA from 1 species